rnacentral:rRNA from 1 species
GACGAACGCCGGCGGCGUGCCUAAUACAUGCAAGUAGAACGCUGAAGGAGGAGCUUGCUUCUCUGGAUGAGUUGCGAACGGGUGAGUAACGCGUAGGUAACCUGCCUGGUAGCGGGGGAUAACUAUUGGAAACGAUAGCUAAUACCGCAUAAGAGUAGAUGUUGCAUGACAUUUGCUUAAAAGGUGCAAUUGCAUCACUACCAGAUGGACCUGCGUUGUAUUAGCUAGUUGGUGGGGUAACGGCUCACCAAGGCGACGAUACAUAGCCGACCUGAGAGGGUGAUCGGCCACACUGGGACUGAGACACGGCCCAGACUCCUACGGGAGGCAGCAGUAGGGAAUCUUCGGCAAUGGACGGAAGUCUGACCGAGCAACGCCGCGUGAGUGAAGAAGGUUUUCGGAUCGUAAAGCUCUGUUGUAAGAGAAGAACGAGUGUGAGAGUGGAAAGUUC